GAUGGACGCUGGCGGCGUGCCUAAUACAUGCAAGUCGAGCGAACGGACGAGAAGCUUGCUUCUCUGAUGUUAGCGGCGGACGGGUGAGUAACACGUGGAUAACCUACCUAUAAGACUGGGAUAACUUCGGGAAACCGGAGCUAAUACCGGAUGAUAUUUUGAACCGCAUGGUUCAAAAGUGAAAGACGGUCUUGCUGUCACUUAUAGAUGGAUCCGCGCUGCAUUAGCUAGUUGGUAAGGUAACGGCUUACCAAGGCAACGAUGCAUAGCCGACCUGAGAGGGUGAUCGGCCACACUGGAACUGAGACACGGUCCAGACUCCUACGGGAGGCAGCAGUAGGGAAUCUUCCGCAAUGGGCGAAAGCCUGACGGAGCAACGCCGAGUGAGUGAUGAAGGUCUUCGGAUCGUAAAACUCUGUUAUUAGGGAAGAACAUAUGUGUAAGUAACUGUGCACAUCUUGACGGUACCUAAUCAGAAAGCCACGGCUAACUACGUG
rnacentral:rRNA from 1 species